UUCUGGUUGAUCCUGCCGGCGGGCACCGCUAUUGGAGUUCGCUUAAGCCAUGCGAGUCGAGAGGGGUAAGCCCUCGGCGCACUGCUCAGUAACACGCGGACAAUCUGCCCUCGAGACGGGGAUAAUCCCGGGAAACUGGGAAUAAUACCCGAUAGGUCUGGGAUGAUGGAAGACUCCCUGGCCAAAAUCUUCCGGGGCUCGAGGAUGGGUCUGCGGCCUAUCAGGUCGUAGGGGGUUUUACGGACCCCCUAGCCGAAGACGGGUACGGGCUUUGGGAGAAGUCGCCCGGAGAUGGAUUCUGAGACACGAAUCCAGGUCCUACGGGACGCAGCAGGCGCGAAACCUCCACAAUGUGGGCAACCACGAUGGGGGAACUCCAAGUGCUUACACUUUUGUGUAAGCUGUUCUCGAGCCUAAAAAGCUCGAGAAGUAAGGGCCGGGUAAGACGGGUGCCAGCCGCCGCGGUAAUACCCGCGGCCCGAGUGGUGCUCAUUAUUAUUGAGCCUAAAGCGUCCGUAGCUGGCCGGGCAAAUCUCCGGGUAAAUCGGGCCGCUC
rnacentral:rRNA from 1 species